UACGUAGGGGGCAAGCGUUGUCCGGAAUCAUUGGGCGUAAAGCGCGUGUAGGCGGCUCGAUAAGUCUGCUGUGAAAGUCCAGGGCUCAACCCUGGGAUGCCGGUGGAUACUGUCGAGCUCGAGUCCGGAAGAGGCAAGUGGAAUUCCUGGUGUAGCGGUGAAAUGCGCAGAUAUCAGGAGGAACACCAAUGGCGAAGGCAGCUCGCUGGGACGGUACUGACGCUGAGACGCGAAAGCGUGGGGAGCAAACAGG
rnacentral:rRNA from 1 species